UGGCGACCGGCGCACGGGUGAGUAACGCGUAUGCAACUUACCUAUCAGAGGGGGAUAGCCCGGCGAAAGUCGGAUUAAUACCCCAUGAAACAGGGGUCCCGCAUGGGAAUAUUUGUUAAAGAUUCAUCGCUGAUAGAUAGGCAUGCGUUCCAUUCGGCAGUUGGCGGGGUAACGGCCCACCAAACCGACGAUGGAUAGGGGUUCUGAGAGGAAGGUCCCCCACAUUGGUACUGAGACACGGACCAA
rnacentral:rRNA from 1 species